CUUCAGUGAGCCGAUCCAGACGGGACGGUCCACCGGCCGGUCCUGACCGUACGUGGCCAGCAGCGCCUGCGCCUC
rnacentral:antisense_RNA from 1 species